rnacentral:rRNA from 1 species
GGCUUAGAGUUUGAUCAUGGCUCAGGAUGAACGCUGGCGGCGUGCCUAACACAUGCAAGUCGAGCGAAGCACUUUGCUUUGAAUCUUUCGGGAGGACGAGUGAUUUGACUGAGCGGCGGACGGGUGAGUAACGCGUGGGCAACCUGCCUCACACAGGGGGAUAACAGUUAGAAAUGACUGCUAAUACCGCAUAAGGCCACAGCACCGCAUGGUGCAGGGGUAAAAACUCCGGUGGUGUGAGAUGGGCCCGCGUCUGAUUAGGUAGUUGGUGAGGUAACGGCUCACCAAGCCGACGAUCAGUAGCCGACCUGAGAGGGUGACCGGCCACAUUGGGACUGAGACACGGCCCAAACUCCUACGGGAGGCAGCAGUGGGGAAUAUUGCACAAUGGGGGAAACCCUGAUGCAGCGACGCCGCGUGAGCGAUGAAGUGUUUCGGUAUGUAAAGCUCUAUCAGCAGGGAAGAAACUGACGGUACCUGACUAAGAAGCACCGGCUAAAUACGUGCCAGCAGCCGCGGUAAUACGUAUGGUGCAAGCGUUAUCCGGAUUUACUGGGUGUAAAGGGAGCGUAGACGGACUUGCAAGUCUGAAGUGAAAGCCCGGGGCUCAACCCCGGGACUGCUUUGGAAACUGUAGGUCUAGAGUGCUGGAGAGGUAAGUGGAAUUCCUAGUGUAGCGGUGAAAUGCGUAGAUAUUAGGAGGACACCAGUGGCGAAGCGGCUUACUGGACAGUAACUGACGUUGAGGCUCGAAAGCGUGGGGAGCAAACAGGAUUAGAUACCCUGGUAGUCACGCCGUUAAACGAUGACUGCUAAGUUGUCGGGAGCAAAGCUCUUCGUGCCGCAGCUAACNCAAUAAGCAGUC